AGAUUGAACGCUGGCGGCAGGCCUAACACAUGCAAGUCGAGCGGUAGAGGGGUGCUUGCAUCUCUUGAGAGCGGCGGACGGGUGAGUAAUGCCUAGGAAUCUGCCUAGUGGUGGGGGAUAACGUUCGGAAACGGACGCUAAUACCGCAUACGUCCUACGGGAGAAAGGCGGGGGACCUUCGGGCCUCGCGCCAUUAGAUGAGCCGUAGGUCGGAUUUAGCUAGGUUGGUGAGGUAAUGGCUCACCAAGGCGACGAUCCGUAACUGGUCUGAGAGGAUGAUCAGUCACACUGGAACUGAGACACGGUCCAGACUCCGUACGGGAGGCGAGCGAGGUAGGGGGUAAUUUUGGGAACGAAGUAGGGGGGAAAACCCUGGACUCCAGCCCACGUCCCGCGUGUGUGAUGGAACGGUCCGUUCGGGUAGUAAA
rnacentral:rRNA from 1 species